ACAUUUUCCAUUCCUUCAUGUUGUGAUUAUCUCUGAAUCACGUUCUGUAUGAAGCUGUACUCACUUAGUCUCCCAAGACUUUUUUUAAUACAAUUUUUUUUUCCCAUUUAACAGCACUCAGGUCUUGCAGCACAUCAGACUAAAUCAUCAUUAUCGUCUUUGGAUUUCUUUCUGUCAUUUCCAGUGUUCCUUCACUUCUUGGCACAUUCUAUCCCUCUGUAACCUUUAAAGAAGAAGUGAAAAACAGGACACGUUUUUUUUCUUUUUCACAGCUCUCCUUAUUUUUGUGUUUGUUUGGGAUUUUUUCUACAAUUUCACUAGCAAGGUGCUAGUUGAAGAAGCUGAAAGUGAAACUGUCUGAAAAUGAGAGUGAAGAAAACUGGCCUGCUUCUAUAAUUUCAACAGAAAGCACCCCAGGUAAACAAAAUGGCACACUUGUGCAAUCAGCAAUGAAGAAUUCUCCCUACUUAAAUGGCUGAAGUGAGACAAGUGGAGAGAGAAAGUACGGCUUUCUGUGAGAGCUGGGGAAAAAAUCACAACGUAAUUCCCCACGGCCUCCAGUUGCCUCAUGACCACGCUCCUAUCCUGCCCUGACCCUGUGCUGACGGACUCCUGAGAGCCUGCAGGGGCAGAGUGCUGCAUCACCCCAUUGCCACCUCUUUCCAAUGGGCAUCUGUCCACAUCAGUGGCUGCAGGAGAACCAUCAGCAAUCCUGGAGCAGCUCUUUGAGUUCCCCAGGCUGUGCUGCCAGGGAGUUUCAGCUUCUGGGAAAGGCCUCAGCAAGGAAAAGCUUUCAGCAUUCUCAAAGUCAUCUAAUUGUUCAGGACAUACUGAGUAUCUGCACUUACAGAAAUCAUGUUCAGGUGGAGCUCCCUUGAAGGCAAGGCACCGGGAAGCCAAGAUGAGUUUUCAGAAAGUCCUGCUCCUGGUGAUUAAGACCAGAUCUUCGUGUGGAUGCUGCUGGAAAAGCCUGAGGCCGUGUUGGCCACCGGGAUGAGCACUCAUCAUCCUGCAGUAUCUGCCGGUCUAAUUGUGGGUUGCUUGUCAAAAAGAGAGAUAAGGAGGGCAGGUUCCGGUGGUGCCUUCCUACUGAUAGGACCGAAUCCCAGCACGGAGCCAUCGCCACAGGCAGGAGGAUGACAAACAGGAGGCACAACAGGUUGCACCAAAAAGAAGCAGCUUUUCAGUUCAGAGGAAAUAGCUGGUUAGUGCACACGGACAACUUCUCACUUCAGCUGUAUGGGCUUUCCAGCACCUCAAGAGAUCCCACAGUUUUUGUUUUGAUAAACAAGAUGCCAUCCACCAUCUGCCAUCUCCCAUUGCCUCUGUCAGGAAGAACAGUUUGGAGAAUUCUUCCAACUGGAAGAGUCUCAGCUGUCUCUGCGCUUCAACACUAUCCUUUCACAUAAUCUUCAAAGAUCUGUCCACAAGCUCUGAAAUGUUAGCAUGGAAAAGCAAAUAAAAAAAAAAGAGAGAGAGAGAGAGAGAGAGAGAUCUGACCUUGAAGAUUUAGGAUUGGUUUUGCUUUUAAAACUAAGGAAAAAAAAAUACCUGCAACAAAGCAGAAAAAUAGAAUUAUAACUUUCUUAUGAGUUACAAGCUGCAUCAUUUUUCCCAGGGCCUGACAGUCAGGCUUGUUUUUUCCUUCUCACACAACAGUACCAGGCAGAGAUCCCAUCAGCCAAAAGCCACUUCAAAUCCCCCAAGCAACCCUCUUUUCAGAGCAUUUCCUUUCAUGCACAUGAGAUGUAAGGAGAGCUCAGGAAGAUCCUCCGAUGAAAGCCUUCCUCCCAAGUUGUCGCCUUUGAAGAAGAGCCCCAGUGCCACUGAAGCUCCACUGGAAUUUGCCCUUUCCCAUGAUUCACAAUGGGGAUGUGAUGCAAUUUCCGAGCCAUGCUCCCUCUGGAAUAUACCACACAGAGUCUGAGUUCAGGUGGGGCCGUGCAUCUUUCAGAACCGUUCACAUGGCUGACCCACAUGUUGAUAAUUUGCAGUGAGCCAGGUGGGAUUAUCUGUGGUAUAGUUGCAGCUGGUGGCAGCACAGCCAGUAGGAGAGCACCGUUACUGCUUCAGCAUUAACAAGAAAUGGUGCCAAAGGCUGGCUGCGAUCAUGUAAAUAGCUCAUGGAGGGGGGCCAUGAGGAUUAUGACUACCUGGUGCUGCAGAGUGGAUGCCACCUGAGAAAAGAUGCUCAUGCCCACAGGGGAGAGUGCUUGCUGCCAGCAUGGAUAUGGGGUCAGUGCAGCUCCUGCCCUGCACAGCAGAAUGUUGGACUGCAGGGCUGGCUGAGCUGCAGCCAGCUCCCAUUGCUGUGCGAGGCAAUGUUUAAAAAAUAGAAUCAACACAUCAAACGAUGUGUCAUGUAAGUUUUCCAUGUCAAGGAAAAUAGCCCGAGGCCCUUCUUCCCACAUUUGCCGCUACAACAGCCAGACAACCUGGCCCCAAAAUUUAUUCUGGUCUUUAAUCAGGAAAAAUCCCUGUGAUCUCUGAGGUUGGGCUUCACGGUUUUGGAAAGAGAUGAUGUGGUUCACUAAAAGGAAGGCGCUUGCCCACUGUUCUUGAGGUCUGUGGUCACUGUGAGAGUUGCACUCAUUGUGCACCACCUGCAGAAAAAGUGGAAAUGCUCUCAUUUGCCCCAGUUGUCUCUGUGCAGUAAACAUCCAGCAUAGCAGCUUCAGAGCCAUUACUCAUGCUAUGUUUCCCUCUGUAUACACAAAAGCAGAUGCUAUCCAGCACCCGGAUGACCCCAAGUUCUGCUUUCAUCCUGAGCUAGUUUUGUUUUAUUUUUUCUCCAUGCUCUUCAUGCUGAGGUUUACCUUUCCCCAUGAUUUUGUUGCCCCAAGAACAAAGCUGGCCCUCCACAAACCAUGCACAGUGAGGCUGUGUAGGAUGUGUGCAUACUCUUACUGUUGAUUUUAGUUUCCUAAUUUAGAGCACAAAUACAAUGUCCAAGUGGCCAGAGCGAGAUUACUCCUCCAUGCACAUCAUCCUUCCCUUUGCACCUCAGGUAGCCAUUGCACAUUUCCUUUGACUCGGACUACAGUGAGAGAUUGGUUUUGCCUUUAGGAUGGGGCAGCAGCACAGAGGUGCCAACUCAAGGUGUAGGACUAUCACAGGGCUCUCAGCACUCUGAGCCAUUCAUGGCUCUUGCAAGAUCACACCUUGCAGGAAAGAUAAACCCAGAUAUGAUCUUGGGUUUAAAACCCAAGCCCUAAACAGGCUUUGAGGCCAAUGCACAAUUUCUCAAGCAGGCAAUAUGGUUUUCUUGUAUAUAUAAUAAACCUCAGUCAUCGGGAUUGCUGUGAGCUGCCACAAUGCAUACUCUCCCGUGGUGCAGCCCUGGUCGCUCCCACUGAUGUGUGCUAUUUCUGAACUAAAGCAUAAGGUUUAUCAUCCCUGCUGUUCUACCCUGCAAGCAGGAGUAAAAAAGGUCGACUACUGUGUUCAGGCAGCAUCAAAUUACUGUAAAACAAGUGAGAUACUGCAGCGAUAUAUGGCGAGUCUCGGCAUCUUCACUUCUUUCAGGCUUGCAUUAUAAAUGGGUCACAAACUGUUGCUUUCAUAAUAGAAAGAUGAGCCAUCAACUCACUCAUCCCUUCCAAAUUAAUAUUCAGUGAGGAUUUGCAAAUGAAACUGUUUCAUACCUGGGCAUGCCACGGAGCACCUGGAGUGCUUUGUCUGAGCUAUGUAAUGGGGAGUUCGGUGUCGUAAAGCAAUUUACAGGCUGUCCUAGGGCUUCUUCUGAUAAAAACGAUGACAGUAUGCACAGCUAGGCAGAGGAUAAGUGUUACAAUGAAGUCUGGGCUGGACAUAGGAGAGAAAUUUGGCACUUCUAAUCAGUUUUUUUGUCUCCCAAACCCAAAGAUCUCUUACAUGUCACCCAAACCUGGCCACACAGAGUCACCAGGGUCAGGCUGCCGUUCUUCCACUGCUCACACCAAGCUCCAGGUUCAGCCAGGUGGUGCUUCCUCCAUCAGCACUGACCAAUAUCAGCACCAAUAUCUGCCCUUCUGUCAGAGGAGAAACACCUUUAUCUUCUCAGGCUGAAAGAGAGCCACUCAAUAGAUCUGCAUCUACAGACUGCAGCAGUCUUCUCAUCCAUCUGUCGAAAUGUGCAUACCUGGCUGCGUCGGAGGCCACAGAUACAGCACUCAGCUGGAGAUGACUGUGGUGAUGCUGGGAGAUGCUGUUGGAGCAGCCCCAUGGGGGCCCCCAGCCCUGACCUGUGCUCAUCGCGGCUGAUGGAGAUGCCUCGAGCAGGAGCUCACGUCUGGCGGAGCCCGGUGGCAAAUUGGAAGAGCUCUUCCCAGAGUGAGAAAGAAGCUAAUUUCUUACUAAUUAUUUGCCAAACAGCAUGUAAUUAAAUAGCGCAGAACUGUCGACAAUGCAUCUUUGGGUCUUUAGGCCAUAUUUUUCCUGUUCGUGGCACGCUCCUCCAGCGCUUCAAGGCUACUGCAUGCUGCAGAGCAGCGGAGGAGCAGAGUGAUAAUUGAACAAUUAACAAGUGAUGUCAUAAAACAUUGUGCUUAAAAUAAAAUGCGUAAUUAAAAUAACUGAAGCACAAAAAAAGAUGCAACGGCGUACAGAAAAAGCACACACACUAAAAAAAAUAAAUAAAAAAAUCCUUGAGAAUAAGUAAGUCCCAUGUAGGAACUAAAAUAUGCCAUUUAAAGGGAAAAAAAUAGCACCAGAGUGGUUAAGCAAAGACGUGGAGUAAACUAGCAAGCAAUGAUGAUUUGCCAAAAACUAUACUAAUGUUGCAAAAGAAGUAUUCUCUGUAGUUAACAAGUUUGGGCCAUAAAACAGUCCUUCGGUGGCUCCCUGUGUCAUUAUUUGCUACCAAGACACUGUGCUGAUGGGCUCCUCGGGAUCCGGCGUUAGAUCAGUAAGCAGGAAAGCAGAGGUCCCCCCAGAUUUCCUGCCUGGAGAGCUGUUAGGAUCGGCGCUAGUUCUUUAAAGAGCAGAGCUGCGUACAGUGCUGCACUCAAAAUGACCCCGUUAGGAAUAUAAUCUGCUACAAAUGAGACGUUUGGAGGGAAAAAUAACACAGGAAAGCCAAAAGAAAAGAGAGAGAAAAAAAAAGAAAGAAAGAAAAAAAAACAUGCCGGCUUGACUUCAGCUCAUCCUAAC
ensembl:lncRNA